rnacentral:rRNA from 1 species
UGGGGAAUUUUGGACAAUGGGCGAAAGCCUGAUCCAGCAAUGCCGCGUGUGUGAAGAAGGCCUUCGGGUUGUAAAGCACUUUUGUCCGGAAAGAAAUCCUUGGCUCUAAUACAGUCGGGGGAUGACGGUACCGGAAGAAUAAGCACCGGCUAACUACGUGCCAGCAGCCGCGGUAAUACGUAGGGUGCAAGCGUUAAUCGGAAUUACUGGGCGUAAAGCGUGCGCAGGCGGCUUGCUAAGACCGAUGUGAAAUCCCCGGGCUCAACCUGGGAACUGCAUUGGUGACUGGCAGGCUAGAGUAUGGCGGAGGGGGUAGAAUUCCACGUGUAGCAGUGAAAUGCGUAGAGAUGUGGAGGAAUACCGAUGGCGAAGGCAGCCCCCUGGGCCAAUACUGACGCUCAUGCACGAAAGCGUGGGGAGCAAACAGGAUUAGAUACCCUGGUAGUCCACGCCCUAAACGAUGUCAACUAGUUGUUGGGGAUUCAUUUCCUUAGUAACGUAGCUAACGCGUGAAGUUGACCGCCUGGGGAGUACGGUCGCAAGAUUAAAACUUAAAGGAAUUGACGGGGUCAUAGCUGUUUCCU